UACGAAGGGGGCUAGCGUUGCUCGGAAUCACUGGGCGUAAAGCGCACGUAGGCGGAUCUUUAAGUCAGGGGUGAAAUCCUGGAGCUCAACUCCAGAACUGCCUUUGAUACUGGGGAUCUCGAGUCCGGAAGAGGUGAGUGGAACUCCGAGUGUAGAGGUGAAAUUCGUAGAUAUUCGGAAGAACACCAGUGGCGAAGGCGGCUCACUGGUCCGGUACUGACGCUGAGGUGCGAAAGCGUGGGGAGCAAGCGGG
rnacentral:rRNA from 1 species